rnacentral:piRNA from 1 species
UACUGAGAAUGAGCUAAACGUUGAGG